rnacentral:rRNA from 1 species
CGCUGUCACUCCUACGGGAGGCAGCAGUGGGGAAUAUUGCACAAUGGGCGCAAGCCUGAUGCAGCCAUGCCGCGUGUAUGAAGAAGGCCUUCGGGUUGUAAAGUACUUUCAGCAGUGAGGAAGGUGGUAGUGUUAAUAGCACUAUCAUUUGACGUUAGCUGCAGAAGAAGCACCGGCUAACUCCGUGCCAGCAGCCGCGGUAAUACGGAGGGUGCGAGCGUUAAUCGGAAUUACUGGGCGUAAAGCGCAUGCAGGUGGUUUGUUAAGUCAGAUGUGAAAGCCCGGGGCUCAACCUCGGAAUUGCAUUUGAAACUGGCAGACUAGAGUACUGUAGAGGGGGUAGAAUUUCAGGUGUAGCGGUGAAAUGCGUAGAGAUCUGAAGGAAUACCGGUGGCGAAGGCGGCCCCCUGGACAGAUACUGACACUCAGAUGCGAAAGCGUGGGGAGCAAACAGGAUUAGAUACCCUGGUAG